rnacentral:rRNA from 1 species
GACAGGGGUGCCGAGCGUUAGGCGGAAUCACUGGGCUUAAAGCGUGUGUAGGCGGGCGGGCAAGUACCUUGUGAAAUCCCACGGCUCAACCGUGGAACGGCUGGGUACACUGCCUGUCUUGAGCCAACUAGGGGCGAGCGGAACAGACGGUGGAGCGGUGAAAUGCGUAGAUAUCGUCUGGAACGCCAAAGGUGAAAACAGCUCGCUGGGGUUGUGCUGACGCUGAGACACGAAAGCCAGGGGAGCGAACGGG